CGUCAUCCUGCUGCCUUCUUUAGGAAUAUUGCUUCCUAUCCUAAGCAGGGACUAGAGUAGAGAAGCUUUCUCCAGCAUUCAAACUAGAUUUUCUUUCCAUUCAUAUCGCCACUUUUCAUAACAUGGUAAGAAACACUGUAAAUAAUUGAGGUGAUCCAUCAAGAGACCCAUUCUGGAUAAUGAAAAAUUGCAUAACUCAGUAAAAGUCAAUUAAAAACCACAAACUCCAGAGCCUUUUGCUCAGUGAAGAUUUAUUGUUAUAGAAGGCAACUAAUACAAUAGAUUUGUGGGCUCGAAAUUUUAAAAAGUUCUAAAAAGGCUUAGGUAGGGUUCAGCAGUCAGGCAUGACAGAUGCAUAAUUCUAACCAACAGUGCACAUGUGACAUGCUUCCUACUGAAAUUAAACUGCCAAAUAAAAAGGAAGGAUUGUGCCCUUUUUAAUAACAAAGAAUGCAGUCGUUAGAAUUCUUCAGAUUUGGAAUUCCAGCAGCACUCUAGUGUUUUCUUCUUGAUGUGUGACAAGAAUGAAUAAUAUCAAAAAUAAAAAUAAACCUCAUCUAAACAAGCAGUUCUUUGACUUUAUAACGUUCAACAUCAAAUUCUCAAAAUACUCAAGACCAGUAAAUUAUCAGAGCUGAGGAAAUAACAUGCUGAGGACAGAAUCAAUUUUUAAACAUUUUGAUUGAUUUUAACCUGCUAGCAUUAGUUUUGUUCAUUUCUGUUUAGACAUUGCCACUUCAACUGACUACUAGGGACCAUGGUAUUUCAUAUUCAUAUAAAUAUCUGAAUUUGACCUCAUAAGAAGUCCCUUGGGUCUAUAAUACUUUUAUUCUUGUAUAAUCUGAAACAAAUCCUUUCCUUUUAAAAAUCAAACAGACCACGUUAUACACACAGUUGACUAUUUACAAAGCACCCAAUUAAAUCCUACUUAAUUCUUUCACUCUAAAAAUUCCAUCUAACUUGUGUGUAAAGUACCCAUAACAUUAAAUGCAUAAUGUUCACAAACCCUGAUAGUCCUAUCUAACCUAGAAAAUAUUACCUUCCUUAAGGAGAAAAAAGAGCCUUAAAAGAAAAAUAAGAGUAAGGUUUUAAAGAAAUGAGACCAGAAAUCACAGUACAAGACAGAGAAAUCUACUUUAAUAUUCACAUGUAAAAGUUACACAUCACAAGAGAUUGGACAGUAGCUUAG
rnacentral:lncRNA from 1 species